rnacentral:rRNA from 1 species
CAGGUAGUUGGUGGGGUAACGGCCUACCAAGCCUACGAUCCGUAGCUGAUCUGAGAGGAUGAUCAGCCACACUGGGACUGAGACACGGCCCAGACUCCUACGGGAGGCAGCAGUGGGGAAUCUUGGACAAUGGGCGCAAGCCUGAUCCAGCCAUGCCGCGUGAGUGAAGAAGGCCUUAGGGUUGUAAAGCUCUUUUACCAGGGACGAUAAUGACGGUACCUGGAGAAUAAGCCCCGGCAAACUUCGUGCCAGCAGCCGCGGUAAUACGAAGGGGGCUAGCGUUGUUCGGAAUUACUGGGCGUAAAGCGCACGUAGGCGGGUCGUUAAGUCAGGGGUGAAAUCCCGGAGCUCAACUCCGGAACUGCCUUUGAUACUGGCGAUCUAGAGAUCGAGAGAGGUGAGUGGAAUUCCGAGUGUAGAGGUGAAAUUCGUACAUAUUCGG